CUCAAAGGGAGGGCCGGUCCCUCACCCAGUGUUUCUGAUGCUUGCCCUGUCCUGCACCUGGAAAGGCUGGGAGUAGACACAUGUGAAAGAAGAGAACAGAGCAGACCUGCCUUCCAGGGACAGGAGGGAGCCACGCUGUGCAUGUCCUGCUCUGUCUGAUGGCUGCCACCCGUGGAAAGUGACUUCCGGAAGGUGGGAGCCUGCAGGCAUGGCGGAAGAGACCACUGAGUUAUGGAUCAUAAAUCACUGGGGCCACUUGUGGAACCCAGCCUAAAAUCGCCAGCAGCCAAGAUGAGGCUGCCGGGGGGAUUAAAUGAGAUUCCGGAGUGCCCAGCACACAGCCCAUCAAGACCUGUAGGUGUGCCACACUCCACGUUGUCACCAUGACAUCAGCAACCCCUCCUCUUCCCCCACGGAGUCUUCCCCACUUUCUGAAGUCUGAAGAACUGGGACUGGAACAUGUCCAAGGGGCUGCUCGUCACUGCCGGAGGGAUAACUGUUCAGACACUGUCGUCACACAGUCACAGAAAGACUCAGAACUUCAUUGCUACUUUAUUUGUUGUUUUCUGCCUUUAGGAUACUUCCUUAUGAUAAAAAAUGUGAUAUUACUAAAAAAAUAUUAAAAAGUAGGGAGAAAUGCUACCAAGUAUACUCCACAUUUUGGCUUACUUUCUUCCAGAUUUAUAAUGCGUAUUUUGGAUGUAAUUGAGAUUCUACUGCAUGUACAUUUUAUUCUGGUAUUUCACAGGACAUGAUAAGGUAAGCAUGCUGUCAUGCUGUUAAAAACUCUUCAGAGACAUCAUUAAAUGGGCACAUCCUAUUCCAUGGUAGGGCUACACCAGGCCCCCAUUGUUAAAUAUUUAAAUUGUCUCCAAUAUUUUACUGUUGGAAGUCACACUGUCAUAAGAUACUUGUGCAUACGUCUUUGCAUUUUUGUUUAUUUUAUUUGAGCAGAAAUGGGGCUAAAAGUUAUGGAUAUUUUUAAGAUUCUUAAUACAAAUUGCCAAGUUACAUUCCAGAAAAGUCUGGCCAAGUCUUUCCUGUGGCUAGGGUUUAGGAGUUCCUGCUACACACUCACAUCCUCUCCUUCAAUGGCUUGUCCUUAUUCAUCAACAAGCAAAAUAGGGCACUUGCCUUUUUCUUUUUAUCUUUUUAUUUUGAAAUAAUUUCAAACUUAGAGAAAAGUUGCAAGAACAGAGAAAGACACUCACAUAGAUGCUUCCCCUAGAUGGUCCAAUUGCUAACAUUUUUGUCAUAUUUGCUUUAUUAUUCCUCAAUAGAUAGGUAUGUAGGCAGAAAUAUACAUAUGUAACAUACAUACACAUACAUAAACACACAUAUAUUUUUUUGGAAUCAUCUGAGACUAAGUUCCAAACAGGAUGUCCUUUAUGCCUAAAUACUUCAGCAUGUAUUUUAUAGAAACAAAGACAUUUUCAUAUACUGUGAUGAGCAAAAUAAGAAAUUUAACAUGGACACAGUACUGUAACUAAUCUGUAGGCCUUAAAUUUCACCCCAUGCCCUUUAUACCAAAAAAAAUUUAAUAAAAGGGAGUUCAGGAUUCAACCUAAGUCAUGCAUUACACUUAAUUGUCAUAUUUCUUUAGUUCCUUUAAUCUUUAGUUCCUUUAAUCUAAAACAGUUCUCUCCAUCCCUCUGUCUUCCAUGACCAUGACCUUUUUAAAAAGAACAAGCCAGGAUAUUUGUAGCAUGUCCCUCAAUUUGGGUUUGUCUAAUAUUUCCUCCUGAUUAGCUCAGAAUCACGCAUUUUGGGCAGGAGCACCACGGAAGUGAUGUUGGGUCCAUCUUGGGAUAUCACAUUGGGUGGCGUGUCCACAUUUGUUAGUUGGCAUUAUGUCCUAAGGAAAAGUUUUCCUCAUUCUGCCCCGUUUAUUCACUAACUUCCGUAUGUCGGUAUAGACUCAUGGAUUCUUAUUUAAGCUGUUAAUGUCUCCUCUCUUUUGAUGCUCUAAUUAUCCGGGAUUUAGGCAGUAGGAAGCUCUUGGAUGGGACUUCUGUGUCCUUUGACACGACCUCGUCCUUCUGAGAGCAUGACUUUCUGGCACCAGAUGUAGCAAGAAGCUCUCUUGUGCUGACUUUGCCUUUGAUUCCUUUCAGUAAAGCACAAUAUUAGAAACCAAAAUCUAGAUGCUAGACUCACAUAUUGCUCUAGGGGUGUCAUUAUUUCUAAGUCCUUUCAGCAGCUCUCGAGUUGGGAUAUGUACAUAUGUGUGUAUGUACAUAAUCCAUAUUAUAUAUACAUCCAUACAUGUACAUAUGAUAUAGAUGAAUAAAUAUAAUCAUAUUAACAUGGUAUUUCUUUUUAAAUUAGAAUUUUUUAAAUUAUUGCUGAGGUUGAACACUUCCAAAUGUUAUUAGGGUAUCAUACGGCUCCUUUGCACACCUGUCUAUCAGAGUCUUCGCAUUUCUUUAGAUACAUAUUUAAAUAUGGAUAUUAAGGAAAAAUACUACAUUCGUGGUAAGUACUUUCCCAAAUUUAU
rnacentral:lncRNA from 1 species